CCGUGCUAUGCGGGGAGUUAGCGAUGCCCUGUCGUCCGCAAUUCGCUUAGCGGAGCAGAAUGCCGAUUUAGGCUUUAUGUGUGGAAGGCUGCGCUUUAUAAGGGACGUUGAUCCCAAGGUCUUAUGCAACGUGCCGCCGCGAACCGUGUCAGAGCAGGGAUGCAGCAGCACUAAACGGAAAGGUCGCGUGUGCCAUAAGGUGGCUUUGGAGUAGUUACCUGUAAGGCUUACGCUUCGGCGCAUAACGUCGACGUCGGAUGCACG
rnacentral:SRP_RNA from 1 species